AUUGAGGAUGAAUACGAAUAAUCAUUUAAACUAGAGUCUGUGACUUUUAAUCGGGAAUGAUCAGAAAAUUAUUUUAUGCAUGGCUUUCUGACA